AACGAACGCUGGCGGCGUGCCUAACACAUGCAAGUCGAACGAGAAAGUCCCGCAAGGGAUGAGUAAAGUGGCGCACGGGUGAGUAACACGUAGGUAACCUGCCUCUAAGAUCGGGAUAACCUGUCGAAAGACGAGCUAAUACCGGAUAAGACCACGGUCCCUUCGGGGACAGGGGUCAAAGGUGGCCUCUGCUUGCAAGCUAUCGCUUAGAGAUGGGCCUGCGCACCAUUAGCUAGUUGGUAGGGUAACGGCCUACCAAGGCAAAGAUGGUUAGCUGGUCUGAGAGGAUGACCAGCCACACUGGAACUGAGACACGGUCCAGACUCCUACGGGAGGCAGCAGUGGGGAAUCUUGCGCAAUGGGCGAAAGCUUGACGCAGCAACGCCGCGUGGGUGAUGAAGGCCUUCGGGUCGUAAAGCCCUGUCGGAAGGAACGAAUGCUCCUGGGGUGAACAGUCUCAGGAAGUGACGGUACCUUCAAAGGAAGCACCGGCUAACUCCGUGCCAGCAGCCGCAGUAAUAC
rnacentral:rRNA from 1 species